rnacentral:misc_RNA from 1 species
GUGAAUCAUCAAAUUUUUGAACGCAAAUUGCGCCUUUUUCGGAAGGCAUGUCUGUUUGAGGUCACCAUUUAACAAAUAAUGUGCAGCGUUUUUUUUGUCACACGUUGAGGAGCUUUCCAAGAAUUUUAAAUUUUUGGUGGCGCAUAAUGAACAGCGUUAAAGUUUUUUUCAGAUCUAAUGUAUUAAAAUCUUUGCUU